rnacentral:rRNA from 1 species
GGCGCACGGGUGAGGAAUACAUGGGUAAUCUACCUUCGAGUUUGGGAUAACUAGUCGAAAGAUUGGCUAAUACCGGAUAAGACCACAGGAUCUGCGGAUCUAGGGGUUAAAGGUUUUUCGCUUGAAGAUGAGCCCAUGUGGGAUUAGCUAGUUGGUAAGGUAAUGGCUUACCAAGGCUACGAUCCCUAACUGGUCUUAGAGGAUGAUCAGUCACACUGGAACUGAGACACGGUCCAGACUCCUACGGGAGGCAGCAGUAGGGAAUAUUGCGCAAUGGGGGAAACCCUGACGCAGCGACGCCGCGUGAGUGAUGAAGGCCUUCGGGUCGUAAAGCUCUGUCGUAUGGGAAUAACAUAAUGAAUGUACCAUGCAAGAAAGGAUCGGCUAACUUCGUGCCAGCAGCCGCGGUAAGACGAGGGAUCCUAGCGUUGUUCGGAAUCAUUGGGCGUAAA